UACGGGGGGGGGCAAGCGUUGUUCGGAAUUAUUGGGCGUAAAGAGCUCGUAGGCGGUGUGUCACGUCGUUCGUGAAAACUCAGGGCUUAACCCUGAGCUUGCAGUGGGUACGGGCAGACUAGAGUGCGGUAGGGGAGACUGGAAUUCCUGGUGUAGCGGUGAAAUGCGCAGAUAUCAGGAGGAACACCGGUGGCGAAGGCGGGUCUCUGGACCGUAACUGACGCUGAGACACGAAAGCGUGGGUAGCAAACAGG
rnacentral:rRNA from 1 species